GGCGAUAUCACGUUGAGACACCGGUUCACAAACGCUCACCGAAGUUAAGCAAUGUCGAGCCUAGUGAGUACCUAGAUGCGUGUCCACUUGGAAAUACCAUAUGCCGUAAG